UUAUUUUUUGUUUUAGUUUUUUGGUUAAUAAAAAAAUUUUAUUUAAGUUUAAAUUAUUUUAUUAAUUAAUUAAUUAGUUUUUUAUUAAUGGUCUUUAAAACGUUCCAGAAGAAUCGGCUAUACGUUUUUUAAUUUUUAACUUUAGAUUUUUAGAUUUUUUUAAUUUAUUAUAGGUUUUUUAUAUUUUGUUUAAAAUUUAUUUUUUUUUAAUAAAAAAAAAAAUCAAUUUCUUUUUAAAAAACCUGGGUUUGAAUCCAGUUAUUUUUUCUUUUUUAAUACUUGAGUAAUUUUUUUUUUAUAAAUAGAAAGAAUUAAGUUGGAAUAAAUAAUUAAUUUUUGGAGUUUGAUAAUUAAUAGGAGAAACCUCCAUUUUAGCUUUUUUUUUUAUUUUCUGUAUGUUUAUCUUUUUUUUUUUUAUUAAAAAAAAUAUUAUUUUUUUACUUUUUUUGUAGAAAUAUAUAGAGUAUAAAAUUAAGUUUAAUUGAGCUACAUUUUUUUUUUAAUUUUUAUUAUAGUUUAAUUUUUGUUUAUUAAUAGGAAAAAAAAGUAAAAAAAAAAUUUAUUUUUUUUUUAAUUUUUAUUAUUUUUAGUACUAAUUGUCCAUCAGUUCCUUAUUUAUAUUUUGGGAUAAGUUGUAGUAAGGUAGAUUUGUGAGAACUUAAAUCUUAAAUAA
rnacentral:rRNA from 1 species